AAAAAAAAAGUUCUCCUCUUCAAGAGCUGCAAACGAUCAAAAUUCAAGGGCGGCUCACCAAAUUAGAGAAGUUGAAGAUAUUUUUGGUCAAAGUAAUACAAAAACAAUGUGGUUAUUUGAUGGUCGUUAUCCAAUUGGGGGGCUGAAAUGUAUUUAUUUGACACGCAAGUUCAGAGGAUUCUUCACCAUUCUAGCCCCAGUUUUCAAUCAGCCAAACUUAACACAUAAGCACAUUCUUAGUUGGAGGAGUCAUAUUUUGAGGAUCUUUACGCUGCACAGAUGAGGCGUCAAUGGUAGCUUCUGAUUUGGCACAGGGUUGACUUUUCUCUCUUCAAGUUCUGGAUUUUGGGUACAAGAAUGCUGCUUUUAGGCAACAGAGGAAGGGAGUGGUUAACGAUUGCACACAGUCUAAUGGGGUGUGAAUUCAAUUACUAUCUGAGUGAAGUUCAUCAAAAUUAUAAAAUUGGCAGAGUGGUUGGAAAAACUUUUCUCUCUUCAACAUUUGGUACUUAUUUGGAUGAAAGUGGAUGCCAUGGAUUGGCUCACCAAUUUGCAACACCUAUUCAUUCAGUACUGCCUCAAGUUAAACGAUAGAAGUACUGAGAGUAUCAGCCAAUUCUGGUCCAAUGACAGAGAAUGGAUUAAAGAGGAAGCUGUUUGAAGUUCACACAUAUAUUACCACAACAAUGUGUGUGGUCAGUUAUCUUAAACUUAAUCCUCUUCUCUUCUCUGAUACUCUACUUUAAAUCAACUAAUUACAUUCAUAAUUUCCCUAAUGUCUUCUUUCCUUUAUUUGCUUUCCUAAUGUGAAGGUGGUAAGUUUUUCUCACUUCUCAUUUAUGAAGUAUUUUUUUCAAUCCAAAUAAUAUACUAUUCAUUCCGAAGAUCAUCUCUUCACUAUCACUUUUUCUACAACAUUCUCUUACUUUUUACUUAGAAAAAGAUGAAGAAAAAAUUUUCCAAAUAUUUUUAUGAAAUUAUUUUGGCAUGACUAGUGUUGGUUGUAUUCUAUUAGUCAACAGGGCCAAGAGCACAUGAAAUCUCAUUUUGUUCAUAUCCCAACAAUUGAGACCACCAUUUUGUAAUAAGGCAAUACAAUAUGGUCUUGAAGGUAACUAAACUUGGCAAAUCAUCACCAACCUCAUCUUUUUUCUUUGUUUUUUCUAACUAAAUUGUUGACGAGUUUUGUCUCUCUUAUGAAUCUAGCAAAAUUUUGUGUUCUUUAUUCAGCCAUCUAAUCAUUGACAACCAAGGGUGUGUAUAUAUUAAGCUUUUCCCUAUAGAAAAUUCAAAAUCUAGUUCAUUAAAUUGAGCAUUUGAGAUUUAAAAAAUAAAAAAGUCUUACUCAAUGCACAAAGCUCCCACUUUUUUGUGAUUCCCAAACUCAAACUCAUGACCUAUCGCUUUUGGUGAAGGGCACUUGCCAUCCCGCCAAGACUCAACCUCUUAGCAUUUGAGAUUUCAAUAUCAUAUAAAGUUUCUUAUUCAUGAUGGGUUCAAAUUUGAAAGAACUUGAAGCUUUAUACUCUUGCAUACGUUAAUUACAAUAAACUAGACUAGUGAUUUAGCUUAACAAAAUAAAUGCCAAAUUAUUGGCUAUUAAUCCCAGGCCACAGACAUUAAUAACAAUAAACUAAGGAAUAAUUUGUGCUUGGUUCACGUGCUACCACAAUGUUUUCAUUUGAGAAGGUUAUUCAGAAUAAUAAUCAUAUACAUUAAUCCAUUAUUACAGCAUAUAGCAAUUAUCUCAUCACAUUAUUACAGCAUCAAGAGGAAGGAUGUGGCAAAGGUAACGCCUCAAGUUGUUUAUCCUGAAGUUUAUAUGAUAUCAGGAAAGGCUGGUAGAAGACGAGGUACUAGUAUUUCAGCUUAGGUCCUCCAAUGUGUGAACAGUGGAAAAUUGACUGCAAUAAGGAGUGUUGAUAACCUUGUUCAUGCUAUAUGGAAUUCUUCAGAAUGAUGUACACAUUUCUUAAUUUGCUCUUUUCCAUGUUUUUCAUUUUGGAACUUUAUUCUUUUUCAUUUCUAACGACACACAUGGAGUUAUUCUUGAAUUACAAAUUGUGAAAUCUACGUUUUCUCUAUUACUAAAGAUUCUCAUUCCCAGUCAAUGGAAAACAAAACCUUCCCAUAUCCUUGUUAUAUUCUCUUCAGGGUUUUAAAUUUAAAUGAGCUUAAUACUAAAUCGCAUACUCAUUAUUAGUUUUUGCUUUUCAGUUACAAACCUUACUUUGUGGUGUUAUCGGAAUUUGGUAGAAUAAUCUGGAUCCAUAUAAGAAAGAAAAUUUAGUUUUUGUAUUCUUAGUGGAGCCUUUUUAAUUUUUUUUUUAAAGGAUGUCUAAUAUUUCAUGCAGCACACAAAUCAAACAGUAUGUGCUCCUAAGCUCAAGUUGCUGCCUCAUCUAGUUCAACAAUCCCAAGUAAGAUAUUUUGAAAUCAAAAAGAGUAAACAAGAGUGGAUGACUUUCCACUAUAGUUGCAGAACCUUUAUUUAUUUGAUGAGAUUUCUAUAAACAGUUGCAAGAAGCUGAGAUAUCUACCGGCAAGGGUAUGGUGCCUCACUAGAUAACAGAUGCUGUCAUGCUGGUCAUCCUUCAUUUCCCAACUAGAGGCUAUGUACUUUAGCAUCGAUAGGUCAAGAUUGUCCAUGUUCCAAAUAUAUAGAUAAACUUUUGAUUCCUAUGCUAAACUCAAAGAAUCAAGAAUUGGUAUUUUUGCUCAAAUGUCCUCAUGUUUAAUAUAUCACUUUGAAUGGACUUAGCUUAUUCACUUAAUUUUUAAUUUCCAUAAAUUUUGUUCAAAAUUGUGUGCUCAUAUAGUGUAGCAUAUUUUUCUGCAUAGCAUUCUUAGAUCUUCAAAUUUUCCAUCCAACAACAAAAAUCAAGUACUUCUUGAGAUUAUUUGUGUGUGUGUGUAUUCUGGUCUACCAACAAUGCAUUGAUUAGGGCUCUUUAGAAACUUUUAUAUUGUCUUCACUGUUAAGUUUUCACUAAUCAAUUUUGGAUUAAUUAGGGCUCUUUCAUUAUUUAUAUUCAAGCUUCUCCAAAGUUAGUUAAUGAUAUGAAUUCAAAUGAAGUUAGUUUUAAACAUGAGAAAUACUCUUUGACAAAUUAUUUAUUCUAUUUUAAACAGAUUUGUGGAUGACCUUAAAGUCCGGUUUACUGUACAGAGUGCACUAUAAGAAUAACUUCAGAUUCAAAUCAAACGAGAGGUUAACAUCUUUUUUCUUUUGAGAUCAAAUUAUAAUGUUGGGUUAGCUAGAACCAUGACUUGAAUGUGCCUGCAAGUGUCAAUUGGGUAUAUUAGGUAUCACUUCGACAAUGAAUCAAGAUUCCUGACAAUUUGUUUGCUGUUCAAAUCCUAUGUUUUUGUUUCCUAACUUAAAGUCUCUGUUGCAGUGACUUCAGCAAUUUUCUAGAUUAUGAGUCUUCUCUUAUUGUCAGUCUUGUUGUCUUAACUAAGAGGCCAACCUGUUUGGGUGCUCCACUUCAUAUCCCUUUAUGGAGGGUAACAGCCUACAGAUUGCAGACAAGGCAAUGGACAUAAGUCUCCGUCUGAAAAGUUGACAGUUUUUUACUUAAAUGGGUAAAUAUGAAGUCCACUUCCAGAAGGGAAUAGUUAAAAGCGCUGGAUACUCACUCUUUAGUGCCAUUCUAGUUUUCGAUUCCCUGGGCUAGUAUCUUGGAAAACAUCAAAAGGUGACCUCAUCUGCCGCGACAAUAGAAUGUCUUCUCUAAGAACUGACUUUAUAUACUAAAGGCAUUGAAAUUUUUUUUCAACCUACAGCCGAAGUAAGGUAGAUAUGGCAAGCUACAAUGAUCCAUAUUGCCCAAGAAGGUGGCUGCUUUGUUCUAUCUUCAAACCAAUUCUGCAGAAAGGGAAGACUAUCCGCUGUC